AUACGAAGGGCCCGAGCGUUAAUCGGAAUCAUUGGGCUUAAAGGGUGCGUAGGCGGGCUCGCAAGUGUCUUGUGAAAUCCCACGGCUCAACCGUGGAACUGCUGGGCAUACUGCGGGCCUUGAGGUCGGCAGAGGUCGUCGGAACUCUAGGUGUAGCGGUGAAAUGCGUAGAUAUCUAGAGGAACGCCAAAGGCGAAAGCAGACGGCUGGGACGAUCCUGACGCUGAGGCACGAAAGCAUGGGUAGCGAACGGGAUUAGAAACCCCAGUAGUCC
rnacentral:rRNA from 1 species